rnacentral:lncRNA from 1 species
UCUGUGCAAGCAAAGAGAACUGCCAGGUAGAUUCCCUGUGCACUGACAUCUGGGGAUGCCCGGGAGACGACUGGGGGCACAAGGAUCAUUGUGGGUGGCAGCACAGCUUUUAUACAAGGGGCAGGCUGCUCGGAGCAGCCACUGCCCGACUUCUGUUUGGAACAGCUGCUCAGUAGGUGCUGCUGAGAUGAUGGCCCUGGGUAUCACAGACGCCAGCCAAGUGUCUCAGGCCCACAGAGGACAUGGGGCAGCAAGUAGGACUCAGGGAAUAUGUCCAUAACCUGGAUACAGAACUAACGAUCUCGGGAAGAGCUGUGAGCAAAGAAACAUUAUCGAAGUUCAACAUGGUGUCCAAAACAAAAUCCCACAAUGUCUCCUACCUGAAUGAGAGCUUCUACUGAACUCCCCUCAAGAGCAUCUUGAAUCCCAAAAA